AACGAACGCUGGCGGCAUGCCUAACACAUGCAAGUCGAACGAGACCUUCGGGUCUAGUGGCGCACGGGUGCGUAACGCGUGGGAACCUGCCCUUAGGUUCGGAAUAACUCCCCGAAAGGGGUGCUAAUACCGGAUAAUGUCUUCGGACCAAAGAUUUAUCGCCUUUGGAUGGGCCCGCGUUGGAUUAGCUAGUUGGUAGGGUAAAAGCCUACCAAGGCGACGAUCCAUAGCUGGUCUGAGAGGAUGAUCAGCCACACUGGGACUGAGACACGGCCCAGACUCCUACGGGAGGCAGCAGUGGGGAAUAUUGGACAAUGGGCGAAAGCCUGAUCCAGCAAAUGCCGCGUGAGUGAUGAAGGCCUUAGGGUUGUAAAGCUCUUUUACCCGGGAUGAUAAUGACAGUACCGGGAGAAUAAGCUCCGGCUAACUCCGUG
rnacentral:rRNA from 1 species